UACGUAGGGUGCGAGCGUUGUCCGGAAUUAUUGGGCGUAAAGGGCUCGUAGGCGGUCUGUCGCGUCGGAUGUGAAAACUCGGGGCUCAACCCCGAGCCUGCAUUCGAUACGGGCAGACUAGAGUUCGGUAGGGGAGACUGGAAUUCCUGGUGUAGCGGUGAAAUGCGCAGAUAUCAGGAGGAACACCGGUGGCGAAGGCGGGUCUCUGGGCCGAUACUGACGCUGAGGAGCGAAAGCGUGGGGAGCGAACAGG
rnacentral:rRNA from 1 species